UUGGAAUAUUCAUCAGAAUUGAGCAAUUGCUAAUGAGAAUGAAAACAAACUUUACACAGCCAAAGCUAUUUUAUUUAAUGUUACAACAAUGUUAGUUAUUCUUUCAUACGUGAAUGACAUUGAUGCAAUAACUAUCAACUUUUUAGUCAAGUGAAAAGACAAGCAAUUAAUGGAAAACCCUCCUAUUUUAGCUCUGAUAAUUUUUCUGUCAUCAACUGCUGUUGUUUUCCUUGGCCAACCUAGUCAUUACUGAUUGGUAAAGACACCAGGGAUUUAUCUCUAUUGACAGGACAUUCCAAACUAUCUGGGUAGGGCUGACAUGCUAUAGUUCUAAUUGAGUUUCUAUUUUCUGGAUAUUCCAAACUAUCUGGCUAGGGCUGACAUACUAUAGUUCUAAUUGAGUUUCUCUUUUCUUUUAGCAUCAAAACUGCUAGCUUUUCCAUAAUGGACAGCUCACUGGCCUUCAUGCUGGAUAAUGCCUACAGACACCAAACUCAAAAGAUAGAACUGAAUCUCCCGUUGGCCAAAUUCCCCCAAUACUUAUGCCCACAUAAUGAUGCCGGAGCUGUUAUUCUUAUUUUGUAACAAGAACUGUAAUUUGUGCUGUUCAUCCUUCCCUCAAUCAUGACCAGUUUCCCUGCCGCUGAGAAUCAUCCCCAUAACAUGAUGCUCCCACCACCAUGCUUCACCAUCGGGAUGGUAAUAGACAGCCAAUGAGUGGAACUUUGUGUUCUGCAAAUGUUUGGCAUUCAGGCACUACUCUCAAAGUACUUCAGGCAGCAUGCCAUAUAUCUUUUACUGUUGUCAUUCGCCUUUUACUCAGGAGUGGCUUUUGUCUAGCCACUCCUGCAUGCAGGAGAUAGAGCCUGAUAGAAUGCUGCAUUCAUCCUGGCAGGCUUUCCCAUAAAUGCUUACAAUCCAGCUUUGUUGGAGUGGCCAUAGGAUUCUCGGUCACCUCACUGAACACGACCCAACUUGCCCAGUUAUUUUAUUUUAAUUUUGGCUGGAUGACCAGCUCUGCAGUCUUGAUGGUUUUAUUUCACAUUGAUGGAGGCCACUGUGCUCCUGGGAGCUUUCAAUGAUUUACCAUUUUUGAGGGAGGUUGCCCACAGGGGAUGCCACCGGGCCUGAACAUACCUGCCUUCUGUCACCAGGCCCCUUUGGCCCUCGCUGUGUAGAAUAUUCCCAUUUUAUUUUUCAGUAUUUUGGCAAACAUUUCUAAAAUUCUGUUUUUGCAUUGUGGAUAUUAGGUAUUUGUUAGGGACAUUUCUGUAACCUGAUAAAAUAUAUUCUGAGUAAAGGACUGAGUCCCAAUGUUUAAAUGCAUAGAGGAGUGUGGGAGAGGGGAUCUGGGUUUUGUCUUAGGGGGCAUUCUUGUUUGGCCACGAGUAGUUUUAGGGUUAAUCAUCUUCCCAUCAGUAGGUUGCUCAGAUGCUUUAAUUCCCCCUUAAGGGUUAAGAAAGUUAACCACAUGAGGGAAGACACCAUGUCCCUUGUGUCAAGCCCAGGACAUGUGACAGAACAAAGGGUGUGUUUGGUUGACAUGGGACAGAGGGGCAGCAUCUUACCACACCCCCUUUUUCCCUCCUUAUAUAUUGAUGCAUUUCCUAUACUGAUUUAGAGAUUAUUCAUUGUUACUUUGUAACCUGUGUAUUCUCUCCUUGCAAGAAUAAAACUGUUUAUUGUGCAUUUGAGUUUU
ensembl:lncRNA